UAGAUGCUCAGUUAAUGUUCGUUGAGUGGGU
rnacentral:piRNA from 1 species